rnacentral:rRNA from 1 species
CCUANGGGUGGCAGCAGUAGGGAAUAUUAGACAAUGGGCGAAAGCCUGAUCUAGCAACGCCGCGUGCACGAUGAAGGCCUUCGGGUCGUAAAGUGCUUUUUGAGGAGAUGAGGAAGGACAGUAUCCUCAGAAUAAGGAUCGGCUAACUACGUGCCAGCAGCCGCGGUAACACGUAGGAUCCGAGCGUUAUCCGAAUUUACUGGGCGUAAAGCGCUUGCAGGCGGUUUGGUAAGUUGGAUGUGAAAGCUCCCGGCUCAACUGGGAGAGGUCGUUCAAAACUACCAGACUGGAGGGUGGUAGAGGGAGGUGGAAUUCCCGGUGUAGUAGUGAAAUCCGUAGAUAUUAGGAGGAACACCGGUGGCGAAGGCGGCUGCCUGGACCGAUAUUGACGCUGAGACGCGAAAGCGUGGGUAGCAAACAGGAUUAGAUACCCCANUANUC